GGAAACGUGCACUUUUCAGAGCGCUAGGCGGUGCGCUUUGAGGCUCCUGGUGUCUGCCUUGAAGGCAAUCACCCAAGGGACCGUGAGUUUGCAGGUCUAAACAGUCCCUCUCCCGGCUCCCUCACCCGGCUGGAAGUCGAUGGUUCGCAACAUUUCGGCCACGUGCUCCACGCUCACAGAGAAUUGCUCCAUGCUCUCAUAGCCUGGCUCCGGCCGUCCUGCCAGCUCCACCUUCGACAUUGCCCCGACCCUGUGAUGGCCACAAGGGCUCAGCAGAGGAACCCCGCUCCCUCAAGCCCCUCCCAGGUCAGAAGGAAAGAAUCCACAGGGUCCCUUCCUUUCCCACCGCGCAGUCCACUCACUUGUUGAUCAGCUCCUUUGCCUGCUGCAGGGGAGAAAAGGAGGGCCAAGGCCCGCCUCCCUCCCUCUCCGCCAACCUGGAGGUAGAGAGCCAUCUGCGGCUCCUCCAUGGACUGGAUGGCGGACUCCACCAGCUUUGAGGAGCCCUCCAAGUGGUCUCCGUACUGGCGGAUGAGGCCCCGCACGCGCUGCAACUUCUCCUCCUGCUCCCGGGCCAGUGCUUGAAGCAGUUCGCCCUUGCGCUCCUCCAAAACCGCGCACAGGGUCUCGAACCUCUGGUUUAACAGUUGCUUCUGUCUGCGGCUGUUGUCCUGAAAGACCACAGCAGUAUGAUCUCGCCUACGCAUGCCCAGAGCUCGAGAGCACGAAAUUUUAGUCCUCGCCCCACUUUAAAAAAAGCCGAGAAGGAAAGUGACCUGGCUAGGGUCACACCCUGAGUUGGGGACACAGAACCCAGCUCAGAUGUUUUCAGUUCACAGUGAUGACAAGAAUGACAAAGAAUUUCAAAGUUGUUUCCCUGCUGGCCCUGGCUCUGCCUUGCACUAAUUCCCACUUCCUUGUUAAGAAAAUUAAAUCAGUGGCUACUGUGUGACUACCAGCA
ensembl:antisense Gm15469 predicted gene 15469